rnacentral:rRNA from 1 species
GACGAACGCUGGCGGCGCGCCUAACACAUGCCAGUCGAACGAGCGAGCGAGAGCUUGCUUUCUCACGCGAGUGGCGAACGGGUGAGUAACGCGUGAGUAACCUGCCUCAAAGAGGGGGACAACAGUUGGAAACGACUGCUAAUACCGCAUAAGAGCACGACCCGGCAUGGGGUGGAGGGAAAAGGAGCAAUCCGCUAUGGGAUGGCCUCGCGUCCGAUUAGCUAGUUGGUGAUGUAACGGCCCACCAAUGCGACGAUUGGUGGCCGGACGGAGGAGAUGACCGGUCACAUUGGAGCUGAGACACGGCCCAGACUGCGAGGGGAGGGAGCAGUGGGGUAUAUUGCACGAGGGAGGAUACUCUGAUGCAGCCACGCCGCGUGGAAGAAGAAGGUCUUCGGAUUGUGCACUCCUGUUGUUGAGGAAGAGAAUGACGGUACUGAACAAGGAAGUGACGGCUAACUACGUG